rnacentral:rRNA from 1 species
UACGUAGGGGGCAAGCGUUGUCCGGAUUUAUUGGGCGUAAAGAGCGUGUAGGCGGCCAGGUAGGUCUGCUGUGAAAACUCGAGGCUCAACCUCGAGAUGUCGGCGGAAACCAUCUGGCUAGAGUCCGGAAGAGGAGAAUGGAAUUCCUGGUGUAGCGGUGAAAUGCGCAGAUAUCAGGAAGAACACCCGUGGCGAAGGCGGCUCUCUGGGACGGUACUGACGCUGAGACGCGAAAGCGUGGGGAGCGAACAGG